rnacentral:rRNA from 1 species
UGGGGAAUAUUGGACAAUGGGCGCAAGCCUGAUCCAGCCAUGCCGCGUGAGUGAUGAUGGCCCUAGGGUUGUAAAGCUCUUUCAUCGGUGAAGAUAAUGACGGUAACCGGAGAAGAAGCCCCGGCUAACUUCGUGCCAGCAGCCGCGGUAAUACGAAGGGGGCUAGCGUUGUUCGGAUUUACUGGGCGUAAAGCGCACGUAGGCGGACUAUUAAGUCAGGGGUGAAAUCCCGGGGGUCAACCCCGGAACUGCCUUUGAUACUGGUAGUCUUGAGUUCGAGAGAGGUGGGUGGAAUUCCGGGUGUAGAGGUGAAAUUCGUAGAUAUUCGGAGAAACACCAGUGGCGAAGGCGGCUCACUGGCUCGAUACUGACGAUGAGGUUCGAAAGCGUGGGGAGCAAACAGG